rnacentral:rRNA from 1 species
AUUGAACGCUGGCGGCAGGCCUAACACAUGCAAGUCGAGCGGUAGAGAGAAGCUUGCUUCUCUUGAGAGCGGCGGACGGGUGAGUAAUGCCUAGGAAUCUGCCUGAUAGUGGGGGAUAACGUCCGGAAACGGACGCUAAUACCGCAUACGUCCUACGGGAGAAAGUGGGGGCUCUUCGGACCUCACGCUAUCAGAUGAGCCUAGGUCGGAUUAGCUAGUUGGUGGGGUAAAGGCUUACCAAGGCGACGAUCCGUAACUGGUCUGAGAGGAUGAUCAGUCACACUGGAACUGAGACACGGUCCAGACUCCUACGGGAGGCAGCAGUGGGGAAUAUUGGACAAUGGGCGAAAGCCUGAUCCAGCCAUGCCGCGUGUGUGAAGAAGGUCUUCGGAUUGUAAAGCACUUUAAGUUGGGAGGAAGGGUCGUUACCUAAUACGUGGCGAUUUUGACGUUACCGACAGAAUAAGCACCGGCUAACUCUGUGCCAGCCGCCGCGGUAA